rnacentral:rRNA from 1 species
GUUCUUUCAGAUAGUCGAAUGACUUGGAAAAGUCAGUCAAAGAGGGUAAAAACCCCGUAGACGAAAUGUGGAAGACACCUAGGAGGAUCCUGAGUACGGCGGAACACGAGAAAUUCCGUCGGAAUCCGGGAGGACCAUCUCCCAAGGCUAAAUACUCCCUAGUGACCGAUAGUGAACCAGUACCGUGAGGGAAAGGUGAAAAGCACCCCGGAAGGGGAGUGAAAUAGAACCUGAAACCGUGUGCCUACAACAAGUCAAAGCCCGUUAAUGGGUGAUGGCGUGCCUUUUGUAGAAUGAACCGGCGAGUUACGAUUGCAUGCGAGGUUAAGUUGAAGAGACGGAGCCGCAGCGAAAGCGAGUCUGAAUAGGGCGUUUGAGUAUGUAGUCGUAGACCCGAAACCAUGUGAUCUACCCAUGUCCAGGUUGAAGGUGCGGUAAAACGCACUGGAGGACCGAACCCACGUACGUUGAAAAGUGCGGGGAUGAGGUGUGGGUAGCGGAGAAAUUCCAAACGAACUUGGAGAUAGCUGGUUCUCUCCGAAAUAGCUUUAGGGCUAGCCUCGGAAUUGAGAAUGAUGGAGGUAGAGCACUGUUUGGACUAGGGGCCCAUCUCGGGUUACCGAAUUCAGAUAAACUCCGAAUGCCAUUCAUUCAUAUCCGGGAGUCAGACUGUGAGUGAUAAGAUCCAUAGUCGAAAGGGAAACAGCCCAGACCACCAGCUAAGGUCCCAAAAUAUAUGUUAAGU